rnacentral:rRNA from 1 species
AGGACGAACGCUGGCGGCGUGCUUAACACAUGCAAGUCGAGCGGUAAGGCCUCCUUCGGGGGGUGCACGGGCGGCGAACGGGUGAGUAACACGUGGGUGACCUGCCCUCAGCUCUGGGAUAAGCCUGGGAAACCGGGUCUAAUACCGGAUAGGACUGCUUGCCGCAUGGUGGGUGGUGGAAAGUUUUUUCGGCUGGGGAUGGGCCCGCGGCCUAUCAGCUUGUUGGUGGGGUGAUGGCCUACCAAGGCGGUGACGGGUA